UGGGGAAUUUUGCACAAUGGGGGAAACCCUGAUGCAGCGACGCCGCGUGAUUUAGAAGGCCUUCGGGUUGUAAAAAUCUUUUCUAUGGGAAGAAAAUGACAGUACCAUAGGAAUAAGGACCGGCUAAUUAUGUGCCAGCAGCCGCGGUAAUACGUAAGGCCCGAGCGUUGUCCGGAAUCAUUGGGGGUAAAGGGUACGUAGGCGGGUAAGCAAGUUAGAAGUGAAAUCCUAUAGCUCAACUAUAGUAAGCUUUUAAAACUGCUCAUCUUGAGGGAUGGAAGGGAAAGUGGAAGUACUGGUGUAGCGGUGAAAUGCGCAGAUAUUAGGGGGAAAACCGGUGGCGAAGGCGACUUUCUGGCCAUAACCUGACGCUGAGGUACGAAAGCAUGGGUAGCAAACAAA
rnacentral:rRNA from 1 species